rnacentral:pre_miRNA from 1 species
CAUGUACUCCCUCCGUCCGGAAAUACUUGUCGAAAGAAUGAAUGUAUCUAGACGUAUUUUAGUUCUAUAUACAUCCAUUUUUAUGCAUUUCUUCGACAAGUAUUUCCGGAUGGAGGGAGUAGUAU